AGACAGUUUGGUCCCUAUCUGCCGUGGGUGUACGAAGCUUGAGAGGAUCUGUCCCUAGUACGAGAGGACCGGGAUGGACACACCUCUGGUGGACCUGUCGUGGCGCCAGCCGCGCAGCAGGGUAGCUAAGUGUGGAAUAGAUAACCGCUGAAAGCAUCUAAGCGGGAAACUAACCUCAAAACAAGGCUUCGCCGAGAGCCGUGGUAGACCACCACGUUGAUAGGCCAGGUGUGGAAGUGCGGCGACGCAUGGAGCUUACUGGUACUAAUCGCUCGAUCGGCUUGAUCGU
rnacentral:ncRNA from 1 species